rnacentral:sRNA from 1 species
UCUGCCCCAUGGGGAAGGAUGAGAAGCUUCGACUAAGGUUCGACUCGAGCGAAGCGAGAGAACGUUGCCGCAGGCAACGGCCCGAAGGGCGAGGCGCUUUAGCGCCGAGUAAUCCUUCCCUCACCACCA